AGCUUCGAGGUGUAAUUACAUAUUGGAUUGCAAAUCCGAAGACGCAGACUAAUUAUCUGCCGGGGCUU
rnacentral:tRNA from 1 species